rnacentral:rRNA from 1 species
GCACUGGUCCUGUUUUCAGACUUAUUCUUUCGACCAUCCUUCGUGGAGAACAGUCAUGUGCCCUUCAUUGGGUCGGGCUGUGAUCCCGAUCAAUUACUUUGAAAAAAUUAGAGUGUUCAAAGCAGGCUUACGCUGUGAAUACAUUAGCAUGGAAUAAUAAUAUAGGACUUUGGUCUUAUUUUGUUGGUUCUGAGGACUAAAGUAAUGAUUGAUAGGGAUAGUUGGGGGUGCUAGUAUUCAACGGCCAGAGGUGAAAUACGGUGAUUCGUUGAAGACUAACUCAUGCGAAAGCAUUCACCAAGGAUGUCUUCUUUAAUCAAGAUCGAAAGUUGGGGGAUCGAAGACGAUCAGAUACCGUCGUAGUCUCAACCAUAAACUAUGCCGACUAGGGAUUGGCGGAUGUUGUUUUUUGUGACUCCGUCAGCACCUUAUGAGAAAUCAAAGUCUUUGGGUUCCGGGGGGAGUAUGGUCGCAAGGCUGAAACUUAAAGGAAUUGACGGAAGGGCACCACCAGGAGUGGAGCCUGCGGCUUAAUUUGACCCAACACGGGAAAACUUACCAGGUCCAGACAUAGUGAGGAUUGACAGAUUGAAGAUCUUUCUUGAUUCUAUGGGUGGUGGUGCAUGGCCGUUCUUAGUUGGUGGAGUGAUUUGUCUGGUUAAUUCCGUUAACGAACGAGACCUCAGCCUGCUAAAUAGUUGGGCGAAUAUAAUGUCAUGCUUUGUAGUGUUUUUGGGAGACUCCUCGUGGGUUUUCUUUGGAUACUCGGUGUGAUAAUUCGUGAUCAACUUCUUAGAGGGACUUUUGGUUUUUAGCCAAAGGAAGUUUGAGGCAAUAACAGGUCUGUGAUGCCCUUAGAUGUUCUGGGCUGCACGCGCGCUACACUGGCACGUUCAACGAGUAUACAACCUUGACCGGAAGGUCUGGGCAAUCUUUGAAACCGUGCCGUGAUGGGGCUAGAUUAUUGUAAUUAUUAAUCUUAAACGAGGAAUUCCUAGUAAGCGCAAGUCAUCAGCUUGCAUUGAUUACGUCCCUGCCCUUUGUACACACCGCCCGUCGCUCCUACCGAUUGAAUGAUCCGGUGAAAUCUCAAGACUGAGACAUGUGGAAGGGAUGGUUUAUCUGUUCUUUAUCACUAGUUUUGGGAAUCUGAUUAAACCUUAUCAUUU